AUUGAACGCUGGCGGCAGGCCUAACACAUGCAAGUCGAGCGGAUGACGGGAGCUUGCUCCUUGAUUCAGCGGCGGACGGGUGAGUAACGCCUAGGAAUCUGCCUGGUAGUGGGGGACAGCGUUUCGAAAGGAACGCUAAUACCGCAUACGUCCUACGGGAGAAAGCAGGGGACCUUCGGGCCUUGCGCUAUCAGAUGAGCCUAGGUCGGAUUAGCUAGUUGGUGGGGUAAUGGCUCACCAAGGCGACGAUCCGUAACUGGUCUGAGAGGAUGAUCAGUCACACUGGAACUGAGACACGGUCCAGACUCCUACGGGAGGCAGCAGUGGGGAAUAUUGGACAAUGGGCGAAAGCCUGAUCCAGCCAUGCCGCGUGUGUGAAGAAGGUCUUCGGAUUGUAAAGCACUUUAAGUUGGGAGGAAGGGCAGUAAGUUAAUACCUUGCUGUUUUGACGUUACCGACAGAAUAAGCACCGGCUAACUCUGUGCCAGCAGCCGCCGUAAGAC
rnacentral:rRNA from 1 species